GCCUGGCUGGCUCAGUAGGUAGAGCAUGUGAUUUUUAUCUCAAGAGUUGUGAGUUCGAGCCCCAUGUCAGGUG
rnacentral:tRNA from 1 species